CCUACGGGUGGCAGCAGUGAGGAAUAUUGGUCAAUGGACGCAAGUCUGAACCAGCCAUGCCGCGUGCAGGAAGACGGCUCUAUGAGUUGUAAACUGCUUUUGUACGAGGGUAAACGCAGAUACGCGUAUCUGUCUGAAAGUAUCUUACGAAUAAGGAUCGGCUAACUCCGUGCAAGCAGCCGCGGUAAUACGGAGGAUUCAAGCGUUAUCCGGAUUUAUUGGGUUUAAAGGGUGCGUAGGCGGUCGGAUAAGUUAGAGGUGAAAUCCCGAGGCUCAACUUCGGAAUUGCCUCUGAUACUGUUGGGCUAGAGAGUAGUUGAGGUAGACGGAAUGUAUGGUGUAGCGGUGAAAUGCUUAGAGAUCAUGCAGAACACCGGUUGCGAAGGCAGCUUACCAAGCUACUUCUGACGUUGAGGCACGAAAGCGUGGGGAGCAAACAGGAUUAGAUACCCGAGUAGUC
rnacentral:rRNA from 1 species